rnacentral:tRNA from 1 species
GCCGCCAUGGUGAAAUUGGUAGACACGCUGCUCUUAGGAAGCAGUGCUCGUGCAUCUCGGUUCGAGUCCGAGUGGCGGCA